UGCGUAGGCGGGUCUUUAAGUCAGGGGUGAAAUCCUGGAGCUCAACUCCAGAACUGCCUUUGAUACUGAGGAUCUUGAGUUCGGGAGAGGUGAGUGGAACUGCGAGUGUAGAGGUGAAAUUCGUAGAUAUUCGCAAGAACACCAGUGGCGAAGGCGGCUCACUGGCCCGAUACUGACGCUGAGGCACGAAAGCGUGGGGGAGCAAACA
rnacentral:rRNA from 1 species